GAUGAACGCUGGCGGCGUGCCUAAUACAUGCAAGUCGAGCGAACAGACGAGGAGCUUGCUCCUCUGACGUUAGCGGCGGACGGGUGAGUAACACGUGGAUAACCUACCUAUAAGACUGGGAUAACUUCGGGAAACCGGAGCUAAUACCGGAUAAUAUAUUCAACCGCAUGGUUCAAUAGUGAAAGACGGUUUUGCUGUCACUUAUAGAUGGAUCCGCGCCGCAUUAGCUAGUUGGUAAGGUAACGGCUUACCAAGGCAACGAUGCGUAGCCGACCUGAGAGGGUGAUCGGCCACACUGGAACUGAGACACGGUCCAGACUCCUACGGGAGGCAGCAGUAGGGAAUCUUCCGCAAUGGGCGAAAGCCUGACGGAGCCACGCCGCGUGAGUGAUGAAGGUCUUCGGAUCGUAAAACUCUGUUAUUAGGGAAGAACAAAUGUGUAAGUAACUAUGCACGUCUUGACGGUACCUAAUCAGAAAGCCCCGGCUAACUACGUG
rnacentral:rRNA from 1 species